rnacentral:rRNA from 1 species
AGUCGAGCGAAUGGAUUAAGAGCUUGCUCUUAUGAAGUUAGCGGCGGACGGGUGAGUAACACGUGGGUAACCUGCCCAUAAGACUGGGAUAACUCCGGGAAACCGGGGCUAAUACCGGAUAACAUUUUGAACUGCAUGGUUCGAAAUUGAAAGGCGGCUUCGGCUGUCACUUAUGGAUGGACCCGCGUCGCAUUAGCUAGUUGGUGAGGUAACGGCUCACCAAGGCAACGAUGCGUAGCCGACCUGAGAGGGUGAUCGGCCACACUGGGACUGAGACACGGCCCAGACUCCUACGGGAGGCAGCAGUAGGGAAUCUUCCGCAAUGGACGAAAGUCUGACGGAGCAACGCCGCGUGAGUGAUGAAGGCUUUCGGGUCGUAAAACUCUGUUGUUAGGGAAGAACAAGUGCUAGUUGAAUAAGCUGGCACCUUGACGGUACCUAACCAGAAAGCCACGGCUAACUACGUGCCAGCAGCCGCGGUAAUACGUAGGUGGCAAGCGUUAUCCGGAAUUAUUGGGCGUAAAGCGCGCGCAGGUGGUUUCUUAAGUCUGAUGUGAAAGCCCACGGCUCAACCG